GGCAAGGUGGCGGAGUGGUUUAAGGCGUUUGAUUUGAAUAUGAAUAUCAAAUUCAUUCGUGAACCAGGUCGAAUCCCUGCCUUGUCG